AUGUCCUCUCUUGCUGCCUCUGUCCUUGUUUUAUUCUGCCUCCAGGAUCAGAGAAGUGCUAAAACCGUGUCCAAUCCCUGCUGGCCCCUCACCUAUUCCCAGGAAGUGCAGUGGCAAUCACUGCAUGCUGGGCCUUGUGCUGCCAGUGAUGACACACGGGACAUCCCUGGCCCCAAGGAGAUCUUCAACAUCACAGGCUCCAGCAACCCCACAGCCUGCAUGAACCUCGUGCAAAGCCUGCUCAGCUCUUCCUCUUCCUGCAGCUUUUUCAAGCAUUCCCUCAGCAGUGAUCUCAAACCCCUUCAGACCAGGCUUCUGGUGGUUUCUGAGGCCAUGGAUUUCAUGAGAGGAACUGCACCUUCUCCUGACUUGGGUCAGGCUGUCAAGAGGCUGUGUGGGAUGUCUGUCAAAGAGGUAAUUGUGGAGUAACUCAGUCUGCAGGGAGAGCGGGAAGCAAGGAACAGUUUUUUGCAGAAGCACUCAGGGCUCAGGCUGAUAGAGCUGUAACUUACUGGCUCCCUCAGGGAAAAACUUGGAUUUGUCUGGAUUUUGUGGGUUUUGGUUUUUUGUGGGGCUUUUCUGCUGGUAACUUGGACCUAAUUAAGUGAAAAGCCAUAAACACCUUUUACAGUAUUUUAAGGAGUAAACAGGAAGGUUGUUUACUCACUCCUGCACAUCACCUUGGUCUUUCUGUUAUCCUUCUGUCCAGGAAAGGAGAGGCUGUAGCAGGCCUGAAAUUCGGCUAUUGAGUAUUUACUUCUUUUUCUUUUUUCCUCCCCCAUUGUCUUUUUUUGUUCUGGAAAUGGCACCAGCUGAUUAGGGAGUCCCAAGCAAGCCUGGAUACACUUGUUGAUUACUGCACUGUGUCUGCCUUCAUCUUCCACCUCAGUACAAGAGGAUACACACUUGACUUUGACCAGCCUGCUUGGACUGCAUUCCAGAAGGUCAGUUCCUACAGCCCAGUGCUCCCAGUUACCAGGAGGGCUGCUCCCAGUACAGCCAGUCUGUUCCCACACUGCCAAGCCCUAACCAGCUGGGCUUCUCCAGCAGGACAGUUUUGUAAAAUGGAUUCACAGUUGUUAUAAACAAGAAAACCAGUGUCAAAGAGCCAGAGAUUACACUUGUACUCUCUGAAAAACACAUGGGUCAAAAAUCUUCUCUGGUUCAACACCAUCUUUAGAAAUCUGUGUUGACAGGGAAGGAAGUACAGCCUGAUCUCCACUUAACGCUAAGGACAAGAUGCUGAUAACAUUUCCUGACCAAAAGGUGCUUCCUUACCUUUUU
rnacentral:lncRNA from 1 species